rnacentral:lncRNA from 1 species
GCAUCUGCUAUAGAGACUUCGAGGUACAUUUGUCGCGUCCGCAGACCGAGGAGUCCAUUUCUACUCUAGUUGUCAAACAUUGCCCUUAUGUAUUUCUUUCUUGUUAGAUAUUCUGGAAUUAGACUGUUAGCUAGUCAAUGACUUGUGUAUCCGUGAGUUUUCGAGUUUUGGGAUAACUUAUUAAAUUCUGAGAAGUUGUGUUGUAUAUGCCGAGCGGCAUUCUAUAUACUAUUUUUUAUUUGGUUAGUCUUGGAGUUUAAUUAUUAUUUUCUUAAGAUUUCAUUUAUUUCCGCAUUUGUUAGGCAUACCUAGUCGUAGAGACUAGGUGCCGUCACGACAGUUCACGGAGGGCGAACUAGGAUCGUAACAAGUUAGUAUCAUAGCUCUAGUUUCAUAGGAGUCAUGGAUCACAAGCAGAUUUAUUAGAGUCUCGCUUUUCGGUAUGGAAAUGUCUUUACAUAUCUACGAGAGGCUAUAUAACUGUUAAGAAAAUUUCUACUUUAUUUGAUUUCCUUGUCGUGCAAUAUUUUGACAUCACAAUUCUAAGCUUCUGUCUUCUAUUCUCUCACAGAUGAUGAUGAAACGUGCUACCCGAGAUGACUAGGCACCCGCGCUCCCUACUGUAGCCGCCAGAGGCCAGGGUAGAGGGCGGGGUUGCACAUGUAGUGCAGCCAAAGCACCUGCGGGAACUACCGCCGAUGUACCACCAGUAGUUCCAGCCAGAGUCCAAGCCCCUGAUACGCCUACUACUGCUACUACUCCAGUUUUUCAAGAGACUCUAGCACAACUCAUGGGAAUGUACACCACUUUGACUCAGGCGGGGUUGCUUCCCCCAUAUUACAUCCACAUCCCAAGACGCGGGAGGAAAACAGACUUUCGUUGCCCGCACUCUCGAGCAGCGAGUGCUUGUUGAUCAGGUCCUGAAGAUUAUUCAUGUGCCGCAUCAGUGCCGGUUCAACUCGAGGACAGGCCAGG